UACGUAGGGUGCAAGCGUUAUCCGGAAUUAUUGGGCGUAAAGAGCUCGUAGGCGGUUUGUCACGUCUGCUGUGAAAACUGGAGGCUCAACCUCCAGCCUGCAGUGGGUACGGGCAGACUAGAGUGCGGUAGGGGAGAUUGGAAUUCCUGGUGUAGCGGUGGAAAUGCGCAGAUAUCAGGAGGAACACCGAUGGCGAAGGCAGAUCUCUGGGCCGUAACUGACGCUGAGGAGCGAAAGCAUGGGGAGCGAACAGG
rnacentral:rRNA from 1 species